rnacentral:rRNA from 1 species
AGCAGCCGCGGUAAUUCCAGCUCCAAUAGCGUAUAUUAAAGUUGUUGCAGUUAAAAAGCUCGUAGUUGAAUUUCGGGAUCAAUAUAUCGGUCAUGCUUAGGUAUGUACUGGUAUUAUUGAUUUCUCCCUUCUGAAGAACCAUGAUGUCAUUAAUUUGAUGUCGUGGGGAAUCAGGACUGUUACUUUGAAAAAAUUAGAGUGUUUAAAGCAGGCAUACGCUUGAAUACAUUAGCAUGGAAUAAUGAAAUAGGACGUUUUGAUUCUAUUUUGUUGGUUUCUAGGAUCGACGUAAUGAUUAAUAGGGAUAGUUGGGGGCAUUAGUAUUCAAUUGUCAGAGGUGAAAUUCUUGGAUUUAUUGAAGACUAAACUACUGCGAAAGCAUUUGCCAAGGAUGUUUUCAUUAAAUCAAAGAACGAAAGUUAGGGGAUCGAAGACGAUCAGAUACCGUCGUAAGUCUUAACCAUAAACUAUGCCGACUAGGGAUCGGAUUGAUGUAAUUUUUAAUGACUCAA